GCCGUCGUAGCUCAGUCGGUGGAGCGGCUGACUGUUAAUCAGCAGGUCACAGGUUCGAAUCCUGUCGACGGCG
rnacentral:tRNA from 1 species